AAUAGAUACCCUGGUAGUCCACGCCCUAAACUAUGUCGACUGGUUGUUGGGGGAGUCUGUCCCUCAGUAACGUAGCUAACGCGUGAAGUCGACCGCCUGGGGAGUACGGUCGCAAGAUUAAAAACUCAAAGGAAUUGACGGGGACCCGCACAAGCGGUGGAUUAUGUGGAUUAAUUCGAUGCAACGCGAAGAACCUUACCUACCCUUGACAUGCCAGGAACCUCGCAGAGAUGUGAGGGUGCCCGAAAGGGAACCUGGACACAGGUGCUGCAUGGCUGUCGUCAGCUCGUGUCGUGAGAUGUUGGGUUAAGUCCCGCAACGAGCGCAACCCUUGCCAUUAGUUGCUACAUUCAGUUGGGCACUCUAAUGGGACUGCCGGUGACAAACCGGAGGAAGGUGGGGAUGACGUCAAGUCCUCAUGGCCCUUAUGGGUAGGGCUUCACACGUAAUACAAUGGCGCAUACAGAGGGCUGCAAACCCGCGAGGGGGAGCCAAUCCCAAAAAGUGCGUCGUAGUCCGGAUUGUUCUCUGCAA
rnacentral:rRNA from 1 species